rnacentral:rRNA from 1 species
AUUGAACGCUGGCGGCAGGCCUAACACAUGCAAGUCGAGCGGAUGAAGGGAGCUUGCUCCUGGAUUAAGCGGCGGACGGGUGAGUAAUGCCUAGGAAUCUGCCUGGUAGUGGGGGAUAACGUCCGGAAACGGGCGCUAAUACCGCAUACGUCCUGAGGGAGAAAGUGGGGGAUCUUCGGACCUCACGCUAUCAGAUGAGCCUAGGUCGGAUUAGCUAGUUGGUGGGGUAAAGGCCUACCAAGGCGACGAUCCGUAACUGGUCUGAGAGGAUGAUCAGUCACACUGGAACUGAGACACGGUCCAGACUCCUACGGGAGGCAGCAGUGGGGAAUAUUGGACAAUGGGCGAAAGCUUGAUCCAGCCAUGCCGCGUGUGUGAAGAAGGUCUUCGGAUUGUAAAGCACUUUAAGUUGGGAGGAAGGGCAGUAAGUUAAUACCUUGCUGUUUUGACGUUACCAACAGAAUAAGCACCGGCUAACUUCGUG